UACGUAGGGUGCGAGCGUUGUCCGGAAUCAUUGGGCGUAAAGAGCUCGUAGGCGGUUUGUCACGUCUGCUGUGAAAACUGGAGGCUCAACCUCCAGCCUGCAGUGGGUACGGGCAGACUAGAGUGCGGUAGGGGAGAUUGGAAUUCCUGGUGUAGCGGUGGAAUGCGCAGAUAUCAGGAGGAACACCGAUGGCGAAGGCAGAUCUCUGGGCCGUAACUGACGCUGAGGAGCGAAAGCAUGGGGAGCGAACAGG
rnacentral:rRNA from 1 species